rnacentral:rRNA from 1 species
UACAGAGGUCCCAAGCGUUGUUCGGAUUCACUGGGCGUAAAGGGUGCGUAGGUGGUGAGGGAAGUUGGGUGUGAAAUCUCCGAGCUUAACUCGGAAACGGCAUUCAAAACUCUCUUGCUAGAGGGUCGGAAGGGAGACUGGAAUUCUCGGUGUAGCGGUGAAAUGCGUAGAUAUCGAGAGGAACACCAGUGGCGAAAGCGAGUCUCUGGACGACACCUGACACUGAGGCACGAAAGCUAGGGGAGCAAACAGG